UCAGGUUUUGCCAUCUUGAUUUUGUUGCUGAUGAGAAGUCAAAUUUUUACAAUAAUAUUUAAUUUAUAAUUGGAUUUAAAUAAAUUACCCUCGAGAUUACCGCUGUUAAGUGCGCUUUUAUUCUCCAUUUGAUUACGACCUUCAGCGUUGAUGAAACUAUGAGUUAACCCCAUGAAAAAAUUUACAAAAAAUCGAAGAAAAUUCAGGUGGUAUUUAAAAAGCUGCGAAAAAUCAGGUUGACCGGGAAAUUAAAGAAUACCAACCGUGUAAAAAAAAUAUUGGGUGUAUUAUUUCACUCUAUAGAGUGUGCGGUCCGGAAGAAUUUAUUUACGGUGGAAAAGGGUUUACUGCGCCGAGUGUGGAAUCAAUUCGGAACGACAUGAUUCGGAGUUUCUGCGAUUUGUGGGUUGGAUCUUGCCAGAUUGUGUGAUUGUUCCGGAACAGCUUCAAUUCGCCGAUCAAUCCGGCCUCCCGCUGCAACGCCCGCAACUCGUCGUUUUUUACGGUGCUGCAACCGUGGACGUCCUAUCUUAUCGGAUAGAAAGAGAAAAACGGAACGACCGACUCCGAUUGAAUGUUCCAUAAACCGAUGAUCUAUCAUUCAAAUUGAACGGAAAAGAAUCCCACGUACAGCCAUUUGUUUUUAAGUUUCAGCAGAGCCCCGCGGUCAGUAGGUUGCGCCAGGUGCGAGAAAGUGCUCAAAUAGAUCGACGAAUUAUCCAAUCCGGAAAUGUGCGAAGCCGCUAUGUUGCAGCUGAGCAAAAAAAGUGAAUCGGGUUGGAAUCUUUCCCAAUAGUGUGGUUUGGGUAUAGCUUCUAUCCGUCGACUAAACCGGCCACCCAAAUCGUGUUUGGCCUCGCUACAACUGCUGAAACUUGCCGUUCUUUUUCCUGACGACACACAUUUGAUUGCUUCUAAGUUGCGUGACAGAAUAUUCGCAGCCAGUCUACAGGAUAACUAAUGCACUACCGUGGCUUUCGUUCCUUAAAGAAUUUCUCAAAACCGUGACAGAGCCUAGAACCAAUUCACGAGUAACCAAUAGAACGGUUUUAAUGAAUGCUUACGCAUGUUCAUUUAAUUAGAGGAUACCAUGAAAAUGGGUGAAUUCAUAGAAAUUUGGUAGCUGAUCACUGCAUUUACCGGGAGGCACA